rnacentral:rRNA from 1 species
ACAUCCAGCGAACUUGGCAGAGAUGCCUUGGUGCCUUCGGGAACGCUGAGACAGGUGCUGCAUGGCUGUCGUCAGCUCGUGUUGUGAAAUGUCGGGUUAAGUCCCGNAACGAGCGCAACCCUUAUCCUUUGUUGCCAGCGAUUCGGUCGGGAACUCAAAGGAGACUGCCGGUGAUAAACCGGAGGAAGGUGGGGAUGACGUCAAGGCAUCAUGGCCCUUACGAGUAGGGCUACACACGUGCUACAAUGGCGCAUACAAAGAGAAGCGACCUCGCGAGAGCAAGCGGACCUCAUAAAGUGCGUCGUAGUCCGGAUCGGAGUCUGCAACUCGACUCCGUGAAGUCGGAAUCGCUAGUAAUCGUGGAUCAGAAUGCCACGGUGAAUACGUUCCCGGGCCUUGUACACACCGCCCGUCACACCAUGGGAGUGGGUUGCAAAAGAAGUAGGUAGCUUAACCUCCGGGAGGGCGCUUACCACUUUGUGAUUCAUGACUGGGGUGAAGUCGUAACAAGGUAAGCGUAGCGAG